GACGAACGCUGGCGGCGUGCCUAAUACAUGCAAGUCGAACGCAGUGGGGACGGGUGAGUAACACGUGGGUAAACUCGCAUCAGAGGGGAUAACACUUGGAAAAAGGUGCUAAACCGAUACUGAUGGAUGGAACCGCGGUGCAUUAGCUAGUGGGUGAGGGAACGGCUCACCAAGGACACGAUGCAUAGCCGACCUUAUAGGGUGUUCGCCCACAAUGGGACUUAUACACGGCCCAGCCUCCUACGGGAGGCAGCAGUAGGGAAUCUUCGGCAAUGGACGAAAGUCUGACCGAGCAACGCCGCGUGAUGGAAGAAGGUUUUCGGAUCGUAAAACUCUGUUGUUAGAGAAGCGGUAUCUAACCAGAAAGCCACGGCUAACUCCGUGCCAGCAGCCGCGGUAAUAC
rnacentral:rRNA from 1 species